ACGCUCGACACCUACGGGAGGCGGCAGUGGGGAAUAUUGCACAAUGGGGGAAACCCUGAUGCAGCGACGCCGCGUGAGCGAAGAAGUAUUUCGGUAUGUAAAGCUCUAUCAGCAGGGAAGAAACUGACGGUACCUGACUAAGAAGCACCGGCUAAAUACGUACCAGCAGCCGCGGUAAUCUGAGCGGGCUGGCAAGGC
rnacentral:rRNA from 1 species